GGGGAUGUAGCUCAGCGGGAUAGUGUUUGUUUUCCAUGCAAGAGGCCGUGGGAUCCACGCUCAGCAUCUCCG
rnacentral:tRNA from 1 species